rfam:Geobacillus sp. CAMR12739 Contig7, whole genome shotgun sequence.
UACGGAUAGACGAAAGCCCUUCAUAUAAGCGCAAGAAUAUGGCUUGCGCGUCUCUACCGGGCCGCCGUAAACGGCCCGACUAUGAAGGCAGAAGACGCUGCU